AUUGAACGCUGGCGGCAGGCCUAACACAUGCAAGUCGAACGAGUGGCGGACGGGUGAGUAAUGUCUGGGAAACUGCCUGAUGGAGGGGGAUAACUACUGGAAACGGUAGCUAAUACCGCAUACCAUCAGAUGUGCCCAGAUCGGAUUAGCUAGUUGGUGGGGGAACGGCUCACCAAGGCGACGAUCCCUAGCUGGUCUGAGAGGAUGACCAGCGACCCUGGAACUGGGACACGGUCCAGGCUCCUACGGUAGGCAGCAGUGGGGAAUAGUGCACAAUGGGCGCGAGCCUGAUGCAGCCAGGCCGCGUGUAUGAAGAAGGCCUUCGGGUUGUAAAGUACUUUCGGCGGGGAGACGUUACCCGCAGAAGAAGCACCGGCUAACUCCGUGCCAGCAGCCGCGAUAAUAC
rnacentral:rRNA from 1 species